rnacentral:rRNA from 1 species
UACGGAGGGGGCUAGCGUUGUUCGGAUUUACUGGGCGUAAAGCGCACGUAGGCGGAUACUUAAGUCAGGGGUGAAAUCCUGGAGCUCAACUCCAGAACUGCCUUUGAUACUGGGUAUCUCGAGUCCGGAAGAGGUGAGUGGAACUCCUAGUGUAGAGGUGGAAUUCGUAGAUAUUAGGAAGAACACCAGUGGCGAAGGCGGCUCACUGGUCCGGUACUGACGCUGAGGUGCGAAAGCGUGGGGAGCAAACAGG